AAGGAAGCCAAUAAUUCUUCCUAACCACAAGGCAUAAUUUGUUCCUUACCAUCUAUGCUCAACUGUAUAUAUAUGAAUACUAAUGUACUCUUUAAAAUAUAUAAUAAGAAGACGCAGAACUCCACCGUGGACGUAGGCUUGAAUUGCCAAACCACGUAGAAUCCUGAGUGUUAUUCUUCCCUUUCUCUUUUCUUCUAUAGAGACUAGAUCAUAGCACACAGAUUGAAAUUAACACAAUGAGUUAGGAUGGACAAGAUUAACUACAAAGACGAUGGCAUUUGGACAAAUUUUAUAGCCAGCCAACCAAGAUUUCUAAAAUUGUAUAGACAAAAUUGAUCAAAAGACAAUGGCAUUUCAGUACUACAAUUGUGGAUAGAAAGCAGAUAAUAGCAGGCAUUAUCUUAAGAAGCAAAACAUA
rnacentral:misc_RNA from 1 species